AGACCCGAAACCCGGUGAUCUAGCCAUGGGCAGGUUGAAGGUUGGGUAACACUAACUGGAGGACCGAACCGACUAAUGUUGAAAAAUUAGCGGAUGACCUGUGGCUGGGGGUGAAAGGCCAAUCAAACCGGGAGAUAGCUGGUUCUCCCCGAAAGCUAUUUAGGUAGCGCCUCGUGAAUUCAUCUCCGGGGGUAGAGCACUGUUUCGGCUAGGGGGCCAUCCCGGCUUACCAACCCGAUGCAAACUGCGAAUACCGGAGAAUGUUAUCACGGGAGACACACGGCGGGUGCUAACGUCCGUCGUGAAGAGGGAAACAACCCAGACCGCCAGCUAAGGUCCCAAAGUCAUGGUUAAGUGGGAAACGAUGUGGGAAGGCCCAGACAGCCAGGAUGUUGGCUUAGAAGCAGCCAUCAUUUAAAGAAAGCGUAAUAGCUCACUGGUCGAGUCGGCCUGCGCGGAAGAUGUAACGGGGCUAAACCAUGCACCGAAGCUGCGGCAGCGACACUGUGUGUUGUUGGGUAGGGGAGCGUUCUGUAAGCCUGCGAAGGUGGCCUGUGAGGGUUGCUGGAGGUAUCAGAAGUGCGAAUGCUGACAUAAGUAACGAUAAAGCGGGUGAAAAGCCCGCUCGCCGGAAGACCAAGGGUUCCUGUCCAACGUUAAUCGGGGCAGGGUGAGUCGACCCCUAAGGCGAGGCCGAAAGGCGUAGUCGAUGGGAAACGGGUUAAUAUUCCCGUACUUGGUGUUACUGCGAAGGGGGGACGGAGAAGGCUAUGUUGGCCGGGCGACGGUUGUCCCGGUUUAAGCGUGUAGGUGUGUGUUCCAGGUAAAUCCGGUUCACUUUAACACUGAGGCGUGACGACGAGGCACUACGGUGCUGAAGCAACAAAUGCCCUGCUUCCAGGAAAAGCCUCUAAGCAUCAGGUAACAUCAAAUCGUACCCCAAACCGACACAGGUGGUCAGGUAGAGAAUACCAAGGCGCUUGAGAGAACUCGGGUGAAGGAACUAGGCAAAAUGGUGCCGUAACUUCGGGAGAAGGCACGCUGACACGUAGGUGAAGUGAUUUACUCAUGGAGCUGAAGUCAGUCGAAGAUACCAGCUGGCUGCAACUGUUUAUUAAAAACACAGCACUGUGCAAACACGAAAGUGGACGUAUACGGUGUGACGCCUGCCCGGUGCCGGAAGGUUAAUUGAUGGGGUCAGCGCAAGCGAAGCUCCUGAUCGAAGCCCCGGUAAACGGCGGCCGUAACUAUAACGGUCCUAAGGUAGCGAAAUUCCUUGUCGGGUAAGUUCCGACCUGCACGAAUGGCGUAAUGAUGGCCAGGCUGUCUCCACCCGAGACUCAGUGAAAUUGAACUCGCUGUGAAGAUGCAGUGUACCCGCGGCAAGACGGAAAGACCCCGUGAACCUUUACUAUAGCUUGACACUGAACAUUGAGCCUUGAUGUGUAGGAUAGGUGGGAGGCUUUGAAGUGUGGACGCCAGUCUGCAUGGAGCCGACCUUGAAAUACCACCCUUUAAUGUUUGAUGUUCUAACGUGGACCCGUUACCCGGGUUGCGGACAGUGUCUGGUGGGUAGUUUGACUGGGGCGGUCUCCUCCUAAAGAGUAACGGAGGAGCACGAAGGUUGGCUAAUCCUGGUCGGACAUCAGGAGGUUAGUGCAAUGGCAUAAGCCAGCUUGACUGCGAGCGUGACGGCGCGAGCAGGUGCGAAAGCAGGUCAUAGUGAUCCGGUGGUUCUGAAUGGAAGGGCCAUCGCUCAACGGAUAAAAGGUACUCCGGGGAUAACAGGCUGAUACCGCCCAAGAGUUCAUAUCGACGGCGGUGUUUGGCACCUCGAUGUCGGCUCAUCACAUCCUGGGGCUGAAGUAGGUCCCAAGGGUAUGGCUGUUCGCCAUUUAAAGUGGUACGCGAGCUGGGUUUAGAACGUCGUGAGACAGUUCGGUCCCUAUCUGCCGUGGGCGCUGGAGAACUGAGGGGGGCUGCUCCUAGUACGAGAGGACCGGAGUGGACGCAUCACUGGUGUUCGGGUUGUCAUGCCAAUGGCACUGCCCGGUAGCUAAAUGCGGAAGAGAUAAGUGCUGAAAGCAUCUAAGCACGAAACUUGCCCCGAGAUGAGUUCUCCCUGAGA
rnacentral:rRNA from 1 species